rnacentral:rRNA from 1 species
AUUGAACGCUGGCGGCGUGCCUAACACAUGCAAGUCGAGCGGUAACGGGUGUAGCAAUACAUGCUGACGAGCGGCGAACGGGUGAGUAAUGCUUCGGAAUCUACCCAAUGGUGGGGAAUAACCAGCCGAAAGGUUGGCUAAUACCGCAUACGUCCCACGGGAGAAAGCAGGGGAUCGCAAGACCUUGCGCCAAUGGAUGAGCCGAAGUCGGAUUAGCUAGUUGGAGGGUAACGGCCUACCAAGGCGACGAUCCGUAGCUGGUCUGAGAGGACGACCAGCCACACUGGGACUGAGACACGGCCCAGACUCCUACGGGAGGCAGCAGUGGGGAAUAUUGGACAAUGGGGGAAACCCUGAUCCAGCGACGCCGCGUGUGUGAAGAAGGCCUGCGGGUUGUAAAGC